rfam:Triticum aestivum genome assembly, contig: Triticum_aestivum_CS42_TGACv1_scaffold_374977_5AL
UUACUACUCCCUCCGUCCGGAAAUACUUGUCCGAGGAAUGGAUGUAUCUAGAUGUAUUUUAGUUCUACAUACACCCAUUUGUAUCCAUUUCUACGACAAGUAUUUCCGGACGGAGGGGGUAUUUU